rnacentral:lncRNA from 1 species
UACACUCAUCUCCUAGGCAAAAGAUCCCAUAGCAAAGAUGGUAGUUGUGUUGGAAAAAUGAAAACAAUUUUCAAUUCUAGCAGAAGUUUAAAAUUGUUGAAAAUCGGUCCGAUUGUAAUAAACCUUUUUUUCCGAAAAGUACAUGUGCUUUGUGCGAGAUGGAUCUGUAUCGUUAUCGACUUUCAAUCGAAUGACAUUCUCUGCUAUCCUCGUACCUUGAAUUUCACCGAGUGUGG